CCACUCCAGUGUGUCCAUGCAGUGACAUCCACGGGCCUGCCUAAGCAGCAAGUAGAAGGAAACAAAAUGGAGUCCUGCAUCCCUGAAAAUGAGACGCAGCGGAAAUUCUGUUGUUCUUUCUUCCCAAGAUCAUGCAUUAACAGCAUUCUGGCAGGACUAAGCAGCCCACAUCCUGGUUGCCCACUGCUGUCCACCUCAUCAAACAGAGUGACCUCACAAAGGUAUGAAGCUUCAGUUUGCUGUGGGGAUGCUGCUCCUCUGCCUCAUGUUUGCAGGUGCUGGAGAACAAAG